UACGUAGGGGGCGAGCGUUGUCCGGAAUCAUUGGGCGUAAAGCGCGUGUAGGCGGGCCGGAAGGUCUGGUGUGAAAGCCCGGGGCUCAACCCCGGAGGGUCACUGGAAACCAUCGGCCUUGAGUCCGGAAGAGGAGAGUGGAAUUCCUGGUGUAGCGGUGGAAUGCGCAGAUAUCAGGAGGAACACCAAUGGCGAAGGCAGCUCUCUGGUACGUGACUGACGCUAAGACGCGAAAGCGUGGGGAGCGAAC
rnacentral:rRNA from 1 species